GGCGCAGAGGUGAGCGGUCCUCCCCGCCGGCCGCACCCCUUGGGACGCUCUGGGCUCGGAAAGUUCUGGAAGCUGCUUCUGCUGCGUUCCCGCGCCUACGCCCACUCUCUAGCCCGAGGUGACAGAGCGUGUCCCCACCUUUCCUGAAUUCUGCUUGAAGGGUUUUACUGUGCCGCGUGCACUGAAGUUCUCAAGCCGCUGCGAUUUUCAUGAUGGUAAUUACCGUGGGAAUGGGGAAUGGUGCCGCUUUCUAAAAACACAAAUCCUCCAGCCAUGAAGAGCUCCUCAGCCCAGAAAAAUCGCUUGGAAAGGGAGACAGUGGACACAAAAUACACACCAUUCCUUGUGGAAUAUAAAAUAAUCUACAUCUAAAUGUUACUAAAGAAAAUCAAAAGAAAGGAAGUAAUCAAGAGAAAACAAAAAGAGGUCCCAGAGAAUGAAGAGUGUGGGAAAAGGAGAAUGACCCUGAAGUAACUUUUCAGAUGAAAAGAUUUGGUCUUUGGAGAGAAAGCAGAGCAGCUCUGACUUUAAAGCUGAAGACUCAGGGCUUCUGGCCCCCUGAAGGGGAAGGACCCAGUGUACCCAGCACAGCCAGGUUCAUCUUGGAAUUUCUGCAGCGCGAAAGCAGGAGCUGCGUCAGCUCCCCAUCACUGCUGUGACAAGCACCUGAUAAAAAGCCCCUUAAGGAGGGUUUAUCUGGGCCCAGAGCCUGUCACGGUGGGACCAUGAAGACACUGGUCACCUCGCAUCCGCAGCCAGGAAGCAGGGAACAAAGAAUGCUGGCGCUCAGCUCACCUUCUCUUCUUUCCAUUCAGCCUUGGCUCCCAGGCUAAGGAAAGGUGACUCCCACUGAUGAGGCUCUCACGGAAGUGUCAGGCCAUGGAAAGGUGACUCCCUCCGAAGUGUCCAGACAUUUGUCUCCCAGAUGAUUCUGGAUUCUGUCAAAGUGACAAUGUCAACCAUUACAGAUGUCUAAUAAACAUUUGUUAAAUGAUUUAUCAUGGAGAGAUGGCUCAGAGGUUAAGAGCACUGGCUGCUCUUCCAGAGGUCAUGAGUUCAAUUCCCAGCAACCACGUGGUGGCUCACAACCAUCCAUAAUGAGAUCUGGUGCCCUCUGCUGGUGUGCAGGUGUACAUGCAAACAACAUUA